rnacentral:rRNA from 1 species
CCUACGGGUGGCAGCAGUGAGGAAUAUUGGUCAAUGGACGAGAGUCUGAACCAGCCAAGUAGCGUGAAGGAUGACGGCCCUAUGGGUUGUAAACUUCUUUUAUAAGGGAAUAAAACGCGGCACGUGUGCCUUUUUGCAUGUACUUUAUGAAUAAGGAUCGGCUAACUCCGUGCCAGCAGCCGCGGUAAUACGGAGGAUCCGAGCGUUAUCCGGAUUUAUUGGGUUUAAAGGGAGCGUAGAUGGGUUGUUAAGUCAGUUGUGAAAGUUUGCGGCUCAACCGUAAAAUUGCAAUUGAUACUGGCAGUCUAGAGUUCAGUUGAGGUAGGCGGAAUUCGUGGUGUAGCGGUGAAAUGCAUAGAUAUCACGAAGAACCCCGAUUGCGAAGGCAGCUUACUAAACUGCGACUGACAUUGAUGCUCGAAAGUGUGGGUAUCAAACAGGAUUAGAUACCCGAGUAGUC